AAUUGUGGGCACCGGCCAGCCGGGGUGCAGCAAAUUUCUGGCAGCGAUGGGCACCGGCCAGCCGGUGGGCAGCAAUUUAUUGGCGACGUGCGGGCACGGGCUGGGCCGGUGGGCAGCAACUUGGGAGCCGGCCGGGCGCACGGGGGGGACCCGGCCGGGCAUAGUGGGCAGCCCUUCCCCCCUAUAGUAGUGAAAUGGACAAAACCAGCCAAAUGACCACUAGACAU